rnacentral:rRNA from 1 species
AACGAACGCUGGCGGCAGGCUUAACACAUGCAAGUCGAACGGUUGUAGCAAUACAGCAGUGGCAGACGGGUGAGUAACACGUGGGAACCUUCCUAGGGGUACGGAACAACUCAGGGAAACUUGAGCUAAUACCGUAUACGUCCGUGAGGAGAAAGAUUUAUCGCCCUUAGACGGGCCCGCGUAGGAUUAGGUAGUUGGUGGGGUAAUGGCCUACCAAGCCUACGAUCCUUAGCUGAUCUGAGAGGANGAUCAGCCACACUGGGACUGAGACACGGCCCAGACUCCUACGGGAGGCAGCAGUGGGGAAUCUUGGACAAUGGGCGCAAGCCUGAUCCAGCCAUGCCGCGUGAGUGAAGAAGGCCUU